rnacentral:rRNA from 1 species
UACGUAGGGCGCAAGCGUUGUCCGGAAUUAUUGGGCGUAAAGAGCUCGUAGGCGGCCAGUUGCGUCCGCUGUGGAAAUCCCGGGGCUUAACCCCGGGCGCAGUGGAUACGGGCUGGCUAGAGGCAGGCAGGGGAGAACCGGAAUUCCCGGUGUAGCGGUGAAAUGCGUAGAGAUCCGGAAGAACACCAGUGGCGAAGGCGGCCCGCUGGGCAGUGGCUGACGCUGAGGCGCGACAGCGGUGGGGAGCAAACAGG